rnacentral:rRNA from 1 species
AGAACGAACGCUGGCGGCAUGCCUAACACAUGCAAGUCGAACGAGACCUUCGGGUCUAGUGGCGCACGGGUGCGUAACGCGUGGGAAUCUGCCCUUGGGUCCGGAAUAACUCAGAGAAAUUUGAGCUAAUACCGGAUGAUGACGUAAGUCCAAAGAUUUAUCGCCCAGGGAUGAGCCCGCGUAAGAUUAGGUAGUUGGUGGGGUAAAGGCCUACCAAGCCGACGAUCUUUAGCUGGUCUGAGAGGAUGAUCAGCCACACUGGGACUGAGACACGGCCCAGACUCCUACGGGAGGCAGCAGUGGGGAAUAUUGGACAAUGGGCGAAAGCCUGAUCCAGCAAUGCCGCGUGAGUGAUGAAGGCCUUAGGGUUGUAAAGCUCUUUUACCCGGGAUGAUAAUGACAGUACCGGGAGAAUAAGCCCCGGCUAACUCCGCGCCAGCAGCCGC